rnacentral:lncRNA from 1 species
CCGACGUUUAGUCACACCGAACAUUUCAUCUUAGAAGCGCGUAACGAUUUCCACGAGUCGUCUUUCAAGUCUGAUAAAAUUGACGGCAUGAUGAGGUACAAUCCAGCCACAGAAAACUGGACCGAACCUGCGCUUCUCGUUCAUAAGGCUCAACGAGACACAGAAGAAGCCCUGCGCAGCGACCUGGCUGCCAUCACCGUCAAGUGUCGUCGCCUGGAGGAGGAAGUUCG